CARCUUUCAGCAAUGGAUCUCUUGGCUCUC
rnacentral:rRNA from 1 species